AUUAACCUCGAGAGGACUCUAGACCCUGAUUAAUUAACUUCGAGAGGACUCUAAACCCUGAUUAAUCUCGAGAUUUGAUAGAUUUGACCUAAAAAACUCGAAUAUGAUAAAAGGAUGGAACUAAUCAGGAAAAUGACAACAUAGGACAACAAGAAUAAUCACAAACAACCAAGAGACAAGAAUAGAUGGAAAUCAAAAUAUGUUUAAAAUUAAAUAUUUAGACCACAUGUUUGAAUUGAGAUGAAACGAAAUGCAUUUUGAGCCAUGAAAAUUUAAGGUAGUUAUUUAAUUUAAAUUUAUAUUUAUUUUCGUGUGCUUAAUUUUUGUGGGUUAAAUUUGAUUGGUCAUGUUCUAUGGCUGAAAACUAAGCUCCUCCACAUACAACUUCUUGUAUUUAAAGGAUUCUUAACAUCCCAAUAUUUUGAAAGGAUUUGUAGCUUACAACACAAUGCUGCAUCACAGUUGUUCUUCGGGGGUUAUAUUGCCUCGUCGGACGUCAGGACGGAGGUAGUUCAACCACCGAAGUCGACAGCUCUUUCCAGUACGUUUCAGACCUAAAACAACGUUGCGUUUCGAUAAAGCGUUUCGAUAAGAGAAAAUUAAGGUUUCUCGAGAGAGAGAAAAA